GCUCCACCUGGGCAGUGCAAGUUAUGCUGCAACAGAGGUCAUGGUCCAGCCUGGUGUCCACAGAUGCUGUGUGUGUGAUCGUUGUUUGGACUGCCAGUUGUAUCUGAGUGCCCAGGAGUGGGACCAGGCACAGUGGAAGCCAGAAGAGAGAUUUCUGUAGGAGAUCAGGUGCGAAAUCAUUCUCCCAGCUGGAUUCCCUCAGAUUUGUAACAGUGUCCUUGUCGCUGAGCCACAGCUGUGGCAGCUCCGGUGAUCAUCCAGAGUCUGGUUCACCAGCAGCACCACCCCUCACAAAGCUGAGGGGCACCCAGCCGCUUCCACAAAGCCUUCUCUAGUCUGGCAAGGAAGGUAUUGCAGAGCCUUUGAGUAAUCCCACAAAUUCAUGCUCUCCCUCACCUCCCCCCCAAGCCGCCUUCUCACAUUGUGAAGAUUAACAGCAUGUUGCAGCAUCGCUGUGCUGCGAUGGGGAUGGUGGUGCUGGGUUUAUUUUCUCAGGAGAAGCAGAUAAAGGUGGCACCAGCUACUACCCAACACCAAAUCUAAAUUAGUAAAUUUAAAAUUCUUUUAAAUCUGACAGAUGUGACAGGGUCUGUUUUGGAUUUUGAUCCAAAGCUUAGCAAAGCCUGUGACCUCUGUAUCAGCAUGACAAUGAGCAAUUGUGGCUGUGCUGCCCCAGCAUCCAUCAAAUGCAAUGAUUAAGUGGCUUGACUGGCAUGGUGGAGAUAAAAGUCAUUGUAAUAAACAUUGUCACAAGCUCUAUGUCUCCCA
rnacentral:lncRNA from 1 species